CAGCAGCCACGGUAAUACGAAGGGGGCUAGCGUUGUUCGGAUUUACUGGGCGUAAAGGGCGCGUAGGCGGACUGAUAAGUCAGGGGUGAAAUCCCAAGGCUCAACCUUGGAACUGCCUUUGAUACUGUUUGUCUUGAGUUCGAGAGAGGUAAGUGGAACUGCGAGUGUAGAGGUGAAAUUCGUAGAUAUUCGCAAGAACACCAGUGGCGAAGGCGGCUUACUGGCUCGAAACUGACGCUGAGGCGCGAAAGCGUGGGGAGCAAACAGGAUUAGAGACCCCCGUAGUCCCUGUCUCUUAUAC
rnacentral:rRNA from 1 species